rnacentral:rRNA from 1 species
UAGGGAAUCUUCCACAAUGGACGCAAGCCUGAUGGAGCAACACCGCGUGAGUGAAGAAGGGUUUCGGCUCGUAAAGCUCUGUUGUUAAAGAAGAACACGUAUGAGAGUAACUGUUCAUACGUUGACGGUAUCUAACCAGCAAGUCACGGCUAACUACGUGCCAG